AGAAGGUUAGAAAGAAAAUAAUUUAAUAUUCAUUCACUUCAUCAAGUCAGAAUAUAUUAUAUCUUUAUAUAUAGGGCAAUGUGAUCCAAUCCAAAAACUCCCCUGACUAACUCAAUACAAGAUUGUGCUCACCCAAGUCUAUAUACACCCAUGAAUUGAUCAAAUCUCAUAAUUUUAGACUUAAUCCUAGUCCAAAGAUAAGUUAGCCCCU
rnacentral:lncRNA from 1 species